CACAGCUCGGUGCUCAGCACUCUUCCAGACAUCGCCCUAUUUAUCUCUUCAUCAGGCUUUUCACUUCUUAUCCUUUAUAAUAAACCAGUGAUUCCAAUUAACUCAGAAAGUGUCAACUUCUGUAUCUACAUCAAUGACACCCAAAUAUGUAUCUCUAGCCUGACAUAGCUCAAGCGGCUCCAGUGCAGGAGACAGAGGGAGCCUGGAAUCCAAAGAAGAGAGCUCCAACCAGCAUAGAGUUGUCAACAGUGCAAGCUGCUGAAAAGAGGACAAGGAAGAUAUUAUCCCUCCACGCCAACCAGCAUGCACUUCUCAACCAGCCUUACUGCCUAUAAACUACCGCUGUUUUGACUGUCAGCUAAAUGAUGAAAGCCUGAGAGAGGGCAUUUUAUUAGUGGCAUAGUCAGAUGCAGCUGUGCUCUAAGACCAUCCUCUGAAAAUGCCUGGGAGAAACUAUUUCCUUCUCAUUGACAAUUACUAAAAAUGGUCAUUCGUUGGCCAGGUCCACUAAACAGUGCAUACGUUGAUCAGAGUUAUUUUGUUUGAAAUUAGUGUGCUGUACAGAAAGCUUUGUCUUGCAUGAACCUGUGUUUUGAUAAAACAGAGACCUUGGGCAUUAGCAGAUAGGAGGAUGGGUGACAGUUUACCACUAACUUUAAACAGGUUCAAAGGUAAAUACCAUAUUUUGUUAAUUUUCAUAUUCAUUAAAGAUCUAAAUAUUGAGAA